AGGUCUUUUCAAAGAGGGGCCGAUGGGACCAAAUCCAGGAGCCCCGAAUGAUGCGACCAAAGAUUGAGUCCUCCGUUGGAUCUAACAGUCACUCGAGAGUGCCAUCGUUUCCCGAUAGAGAUACAAGC
ensembl:snoRNA